AAUGUCAUGCUUUAUUCAGAUCCAUAACAUCUAAUGUGAAGUGCCAUCUGUUGGGAAAACAGUCCACUUAGAGCUGACGUCUCUAUUUCAGGAAGCAAACUAUUGUACAGUGCUGGCUGAAUGACACCAGGCUGGCACACCCACAUCUGAGCUGCAGGGGGCAGCCGACCAUCGCGCCACAUCCACACAGGUUUCCCUCACCUUGAAUGAGAUGUGUUCUGUCCUUGGGAUUUUAGGACAGAGGGAAGCUGUUGUUCCCUCUCCUUCACCCCCCUGUGGGAAUCUGUGCAGUUUAUUCCACACCUGAGCUUCCAGGCAAAGAGUCCUGGUGGUUUGUGCAGAACACAGGAUCCAUUUUCAGAGCGGCAGAAACUGUAACAAAGCCUCAGCUGACGGCCGGGUGACGUCAGAGCGAGGCAGAACAAAGCCUCGCCUCUGACCUCUGAGAAAUCACCACCGAAAACACACAGCGACCACAAGGCAGCCAGAGGCACAAAGACGUACAGCCCAUAAUGGUCCCCAGUGUUCCCACUGCUGAGUGCCCAUUUUCAGCGCUGGAUUCCCGCCAACCAGAUCGCCCGUUAAAAGAAGACGAGUGGGGCGGCGCUGCUCUCUCUUUGACCCAAUGCCGUGAAACGCUGAUUAACCCUCCACUGCUGUCCCACUUCCAGGCCGACCCCUGGCCUCAGUCAUAACGACGACUGGCUGAUAUCCAAACUGUAUCACAGGAACGUUGAUGGAGGGUCACAACCAGACCAGAGGGACGCUUUGUUUUUAAUGAGCCUGGUUCCCAGAGUCAGAACUGGGGCACAACUUUAGCACAAGUAGUAUCAAAACUUUCCCAGUCAAACGGUACCAUUUGAUUCUUUAUGUGGUAAAAUGUAGGGGGAAAAAUGAGUGUUUGGAUGUUUUUGCUUGCAGCCAAUCACCAGAAGUAUUCUUAGAUUUAAAGCAGUGUGUGAUUGGUGCACUGCUGCAGCAACUACAAUAAACUGAUUGAUUGACAGACAAAAAACUGCAAUCUGUUUGGCUAAUAAAUUAGCUUACAACUGUGUCACG